rnacentral:rRNA from 1 species
AUUGAACGCUGGCGGCAGGCUUAACACAUGCAAGUCGAGCGGAGAUGAGGUGCUUGCACCUUAUCUUAGCGGCGGACGGGUGAGUAAUGCUUAGGAAUCUGCCUAUUAGUGGGGGACAACAUUCCGAAAGGAAUGCUAAUACCGCAUACGUCCUACGGGAGAAAGCAGGGGAUCUUCGGACAUUGCGCUAAUAGAUGAGCCUAAGUCGGAUAGCUAGUUGGUGGGGUAAAGGCCUACCAAGGCGACGAUCUGUAGCGGGUCUGAGAGGAUGAUCCGCCACACUGGGACUGGGACACGGCCCAUACUCCUACGGGAGGCAGCAGUGGGGAAUAUUGGACAAUGGGGGGAACCCUGAUCCAGCCAUGCCGCGUGUGUGAAGAAGGCCUUAUGGUUGUAAAGCACUUUAAGCGAGGAGGAGGCUACUGAGACUAAUACUCUUGGAUAGUGGACGUUACUCGCAGAAUAAGCACCGGCUAACUCUGUGCCAGCCGCCGCCGUAACAC